AAGAUAAUGGCUAAGAAUUUUCCAAAAUUAAUGAAAGACAACAAGUUGCAGAUCUAAGAAGCCCAGAGUCUCAAGAAUACCUCUCUCCUUGAAAAAAAAAAAAAAGAAUCUAGAUACAUCACAAUCAAACUGCUGAAAACUGAAGAUAAAGAAAAUAUACUGCAGUCAGUGAGAAGAAAGGAAACAUUAUGUGCAGAGGGACAAUAAUACAAAUCACACAGUGAUACAAAUCAAAAACUAUGUAAAGCAUAAGACAAGGUACUGACAUCUUUAAAAUACCAAGAGAAAAAACCUGACAACCCAGAAUUUUAUGUCUGGUAAAAAUACCUUUCAAAAAUGAAGGUAAAAUAAAGACCUUCAGACAAAGAAAAGCUGAGAAUUUAUUGCCCAUAAACCUGUGUUACAAGGAACGUAAAGGAAGUUCUUCAGGCAGAAGGAAGAUAUCAAGUGGAAAUUAGGAUACACACAUACAAAAAUAAAGCAGCUGGAAAUGAAAUAAUAAAGGUAAAUGUUAAAUGUAUAUUUCUUUAUUCACUUUUAAAUAGUAUAUAGGAUAUGCAUACUUUUUUUAAAAGCUAGCAUGAUACAUAAAAAACUUUAGAAAAACAUACAGCAACAUUUUAACUGAUCUUUUUUCUAAGUAGAAGGAUUGCAAAUUAUUUCAUUUUAAUCUUGAUGCUGAUUUGCAUUUAAAAAUUUUUCUACAAUGAACCUAUAUUACAUUUUAUGCUAAAAAGUGUAAUUUUAUUCUUAUAUUCUGUUUCUAUCAUACAGAUUUCAAGAGCUGUGGGGUUACAGAAAUUUUAUAAGCUAAUUGUUAGAGGAAAUAAUACCUAGAAAAUGAAUUUUCUGUUAUGAAAAGCUUUCUCUACUUUUUAUGUCUUACCAUAUGGGAAAGAAGAAGAGACACUAAAAAGACAAGAAGAGCUGUUUUCUCUGACGCAUAAACCAAUAAUAAUAGAUUGAAUUCUUUAGAACAUGAAUAACGAUUGAAUAAAAAUCUUUUAUAGUACUGUUGAUUACUGAGUGAUGCCUUGGAGCUAGAGCCAUAAACUUUUCUUGAAAGUCUCUUUAUUUUAAGAAAAUGUCCAGGGUAGAUUAAAAGAUUACUCUCUACAUAGCCUAGAAAGAGAACCAGGAAUUGACAAUAUCUAAAUAUUAGUGAGAAUGGUAUCUACUUGCAUAAAAAUCUCUUUUGUAAAAUUUAACCUUGCUUUAACUUCUACAUAAAUAUUUAAAUGUUGCAUAAAAACUAGCUAGGUUUUCUCCUUAGUUUUGGUAGUAAAGUAGCAUUUUACUAAAGAAAGAACAAUUUAGCACAAACAUAUACUGUUCUUCUUUUGACUUGGUUAAUCAAGGCUAUGGGAAGCCAAGAUUUAGAAUUCAAGUCCAGAAUCCAGGUACCACCAUCUAUACGACAGUUACUGAAAGGAUAAGAGACAAUGUGUGUAAAGACAUAAUGUAAGUACAUAGUAAGCAGUUAAUAAACAGCAACUAUAGCAAUCUAGGGGAAAAUAAAUAAAUGUAUUUUUAAAAUAACAGCUAUUAUUGGCUACUGAAGUGAAUCAAAGAUGCAUGAGGAUGCCUUUAUUGCCAUCAACAAGGUAAUACUUUACAAACAGCAGUCCCAGAAUCCAUUGACACCUGUUUACUAACAUGUUUACCACACUAGUGAGUGAAGUACUCAGGUUCCAGCACUUUGAGCAACUGUCUCCUCAUCUUGCCAGGGGAAUUUCUUGCACAUAGAAAUGGGAUGGUCAAAGUGGGGAAAGAAAAAUGACUGCUAAUGCAGUUGGUGUAUUUUUAUACACACACACACACACACACACACACAGCAAAUUCUCCUAAAGUUCUAGUAGGAAAAGUACCUCUUACAGAGGCAAAAAAAAUGGACAUUUUGACUUGGAAAAUUUUUAAAAGUCAUAAAAAGCUAUUAAAUUAUGUACCACACUGAUUUUUCCCCCACCCAAUAUUUUAACCACUACAUUAGGGAAAUUUUGGUGUUGAUGCUGUAACCUCAAUAUUGAAUCAUCUCUGUCUUGUAUCCCAGAAUAUAAUUCAGCUGUUUGGCUACAACAGUCAUGUCUCUUUAGAAAGGUCAAAAGUGUAAUAAAAAUAGUUAAAGGAUAUUUUACCUUUUGCAUUUACUUUUAACAAAAGGUAUCAAAUUAAACACAGCUCACACCUCUUUAGUUGAUUUUACCAAGUUCUUGAAACUGGAAGAUUCAGAAUUUUAAUUUUUGCCUACUACAGCUGGAGGCAGGGAGAAUCAUUCAAAGAAAAAAAAUAAUUUGUUCUCAAUUUUUUUUUUGUUUGUUUAACAGUAGCUUUCAUUUUCAGGGACACUCUGAAAAUUUUUGCAGAGCCAGGAUAAGAUGUAGUGGUUUGAGGUGAGGGCAGAGUAACAGACUCCAGGGCUCAAGCUGUUAACCAAAGAUAUACUGCCUCUCAAAAAUGGGAGGUAAGAUUCAAGGAGAGGAAAUAUUUACAUUCACAAGGAAUGUUUGAAAAGAAUAAAUCAAAGCAGGAUGAUGAAGUAAGGAGAGAAUAUAAGAGGACAAAAUUCCUCACUUCCCCACCAAAAACAACAACAAAAAGAGUCUUGCUGAGGGAUAGGUUAAAUAGCUUUUGUUCUCUUAUAAAACUGUGAGAGAAGAAGAACAUCAUGGCAUUAAGAACACAGUGUGAUACAUGAGGCAAAGUGUCUCCAUGCAGAGAAGGGGACAAAAAAAGGAACAAAGCUGUCUGGCAGGUGAAAAGACAAAGACUAUAGGGAGAGAAAGAGGCAAAUAGACAAGAGGGAGUGAACCAAAAAACAGAUCAAUGGAACGGAGAUUGAGUAACAAGAGAGAUUGAAUGGGGAGGAGCAAAAGUAUCUGUAGAGAGAGGGGCCCAGUCAGGCAGUGGGCAGAUGUGUGCUGGAGUUUCCUCUUCCCACAUUCCCAGACCCAAAUUGGGGAGCUCUAGAAAGAUAGGGCAAGCACUCUCCAGAAUCUUAUUCUUUUUUCACUGUUCAAUCUCCAGCAUCUAACAUUGCCUGACAUAUUUGUCAAAUGAAUAAAUGAUACAUGUAGAAAAGAGAAAGAAGCUGAAUCAGCUGAGAAAAUGCCACAUGCCUCAUGGCAUCUGUUAUUAAACUGUGAGUUGGCAGAAAGAAUACCAAAGAACUGAGCUCUGCUUAUAGCAUGGCCAAGUGAUGCUUACCUUAGGGCCAACUUUGGUUUCCCUGUUGCAGGACCAGUAAAGAACCUGAGUAAAACAGGCAGUCACCAAACCCAGGGUAACUGAGUAGUAAGAGGGUGGCUGAGCGUGGUUGUACUUAAAAGCCCCUGUCUCCAUGUCUCUCCCCAAAUUCCAAACACAUGUUUAGAUGUUUGAAUGUCUCAUCAUCUAGGGUCUCUCCUUUGAGAUGAUUUCUACAGAGUUUUUCACAAAAUACAAAUAACCAACCAAGGCUUUGAAUGUGCUCAACAUCACUAACAUCUAGGGAGGAAUUGUUCUAUUAACUUAGCAACAAGUAGAGGGGUCUUCAUGGCAAAUGGACUCAAAACAAAAAGAGACUCCCCAAAGCCCUACAUAAAACCAUGAUCAAAGAGCAAUGGAUUCAGUCAAGGGAGAUGGAGUCAGGUUGGUUGCAAAUCCCCAGACGAUUCAUCCCACUUCAUUGAGAAUCCCUAAAGUGGAAGAUGAAGGUGGGGUAGAGAAGCAAAGAUGAGUCAAAUAUUGUCUUGUCUAACCACCCUGCCCUGGGUAGAUAUAUGAUGCUCAAAAUGGGAAAAUACACUUAGGGGUUAGACAGACAUGGUUACAUAAAGUUUAAAAAAAAAAAAAAAA